rnacentral:rRNA from 1 species
GUUUGAUCAUGGCUCAGAUUGAACGCUGGCGGCAGGCCUAACACAUGCAAGUCGAACGGUAACAGGAAGAAGCUUGCUUCUUUGCUGACGAGUGGCGGACGGGGGAGUAAUGUCUGGGAAACUGCCUGAUGGAGGGGGAUAACUACUGGAAACGGUAGCUAAUACCGCAUAACGUCGCAAGACCAAAGAGGGGGACCUUCGGGCCUCUUGCCAUCGGAUGUGCCCAGAUGGGAUUAGCUUGUUGGUGGGGUAACGGCUCACCAAGGCGACGAUCCCUAGCUGGUCUGAGAGGAUGACCAGCCACACUGGAACUGAGACACGGUCCAGACUCCUACGGGAGGCAGCAGUGGGGAAUAUUGCACAAUGGGCGCAAGCCUGAUGCAGCCAUGCCGCGUGUAUGAAGAAGGCCUUCGGGUUGUAAAGUACUUUCAGCGGGGAGGAAGGGAGUAAAGUUAAUACCUUUGCUCAUUGACGUUACCCGCAGAAGAAGCACCGGCUAACUCCGU